UCUUCCUGUUCACUCUGAGGGAGAGCCGCUGCCGCCCCCUCCCAUUCCAAACUCCUCUCUUCCCCGCCUCCCCUCGCCCUAUCGACCAUCCUCCCCGUCCGCCGCCACCACCGACCAGUCGCAGCCACGCUACCAUCCCCUCCCUGUUCCUCUCCCGUGGGAAGUCCUCCGAGAAGCAGCCCAAGGGCAGCCGCCUCCCGCUCGGUGGCCGAACGCCGGGAAGCGCCGCUGCUUUGGCUCCGCCAUCUCCUUCGCCCUGCCUGUCGGAUCCACGCCGUCGUCCUCGCGUGCACACGGCAGGUGCUCCGCCUCUUCCUCUUGUCCGGCCAGAUCCAUGGCGCACGGCCUCUCGCGCUCGCUCGCGACCCUGAACCGUGGCAAGGGUUUCAGGCUGGGCAUCGGCUUCGUCGUCGGCGUGGCUCCGGUGGAUUCCGGCGGCUCCUCUCCGUCUCCUCUCUCGCCCCCAUGCGCGGCUCCGCUUCCUGCUGGCCAUGGGGUGCAGCCUUGCAUCGUCCUCUUCUCCUUUUCCUUCUCUGGCAAAUUUUGUGUUGGUUCACUGCUCAAUUUCUUUGGUUAAUCUUCGUGCACUGACCACUUGGUGUUGUUGAUGGCGCAGAUUGUGGCGAGGUUGAGCGUAUGGAGCAGAGGGACCAGGGCAGGGGGCGGCCGUCCCGGGCACCCGAUGGCUUGUUUCCUCUAUACGUACUUGAUGGUUAGCCCAUGUAGCAGAUCGACUGAUUCUGAAAAAGGGAAAAAAUGGUAACAGAUCGACUAAUUCUUGGCUUGCUGCAUGCGCGUGAUCUUCUCUGGUUUCUCUUCCCCAAUUGGCAAAAAACCAGCCAUGCCAAGGUCAACGGCACCUUGUCCACGCCGUCUAAUUGCGAUUUUCAGCUGCUGGGUGUGAUUAGUGCAGGAAGGUAAUGGGAUUUUCUCGAUUCCAUGAACCUCCUCGUGAACUCAAAUCCCAUUUGUUUGUAGUCUUGUUAGAUGUUUCGCUUCGUGAAGUUAAUCCUCAUUACAUAUCUCUUUCUUGAACUUCAGUUUCUUCUAUUGAUUGGGAUUAGGAAAGGGAAACUAAAUUUUCUGCUCAUGACUUGUAAGCUGCAGCAAAAGCUUGCAAUUUCUAAUUUCCUAGCCAACCAGGUGCAUUUGUUUCAUGCCUUUCCUAAACUUUUUUAUUUAACUAGCUGUGUUCUUAAUUUUUGUCAUCUCGUAUCAUAUAUUUGUGUACUAGGCGAUGCAUUGUUCUUGGUUUCUCCGUGCGUUCAUUUUGCUGAUGAUGAGGUGUGUACACAAGACAGUGUGGCUCCUCAAUUUAUACACAUGAUCAUAAAUUGUUGGAUUGAAUUGUUGCCUUAUAUGUCAAGUGCUUGUUGUGAGUUCCAAACUUACAGUAGAGAUGGCGUAUUAGCUACCCGAUCUAGAGCCGAAGCUUUGUUGGCGCACGGUAUUUUUUGUAUGGUUAUUGAUUUGCUAGCAUAUAUUCUAGACUAAAUUUUGUUAGCCUGCACUUUAUAGCGCUUUUAUCUGGUUUCUUUCUUAGUUUCUUAUAACAUCUUAAUUUAUUUAUUUUAUAUGACAUAAGAUUGUUCCGUUCACUAAUGUUUCUCCAUGUUUAUGAAGAAAAGAUUGGGUUCAGAGCACCUUUCCGUGUUAUUUAUCUAAUUUUUGUGAUUUCUGAUGUUCAGGUCAAGGCGAACUUGAAAUGUGGCCACCUUUGUAUGGCUAAUGGCUUUGUAGGCUUUCAGUAUUUGGCGUCUGUCGCCGGGUUUGUUCCGCCUCAACCAGGAUCUUCUCGGCACUGCUCUGAUGUUUUGAAAACUCACGCACGCCGGCAGCCGCCUCCAUGCUCCAGUUGCCGCAGCCUGCAGUGUUCUUACAUCUAGAUCUAUGGACAGUGUCAGUUGCUCCUAUCUGGACGAGCUUUGUUGGGGUCAUGUGGUUGCUGCUGCUACCGCUUUGUCGGGGUCAAGGGUCAAUAAAACUCAGGUCAAUUGAUGUUGGGCACCAAUCUUGCUCCUAUUUGGGUGGGCUACAGCUUUGUCAGGCUGCCAUCAUAUUCUGAUCUUCCAGUGUUCCUUCUGCGGUGUGGAGGAGGUUUGCUACUAAAUUCACAAAAAAGUAGUGUUCUUUUGCAUCACCAUCCUAUGGAGCCAUGAGAUCUGAACCAAUGAAUACAGAGAACAUUAACUAUGUUUGUGGAUCACUACAUGUUCUAUUGGAACAAGAGUAAAAGGUCAUAGUGACAACGCCACUUGGACUGCUUCUGAACUUCCAUGAUGACACUAGGCUGUUCCAAGGACAACCUGAGCUCCUCCUUGUGGUGAUGUUAGCGGGCGAGCUUCUUCUACCUCCACUCUAUGGAUGUCAGCAGAGAAAAGGAGAGGAAGGGGAUGGAUGAGCAAGGACCAGAAGGACCAGAAGAAGAAGGGCAAGGGAGAUGGGGCGAUGUGCAUGUCCAUGGAGGGGGGAAUUCUAAUUUCUUUACAGCGGUGUUUGAACAAAAUGGCAUAUUCCGUGGGCUAGAUGAUAGAAGGACAUUUUAUUGAAGCACUCAAGAGGAGUAAUACUACUGUGAUGCCAACACAUGGUGAAUAAACUUUAUAUUUUAUAAUGCUCUAAAUCCUGCACUGUGUUGGUUUGUUUCUAAUCUAAACAUGUCUUUUGGCUUGCUCUAGAUUUAGCCUGAACCUUAAUUCUUUGUUUGGUCUGAAUCUUGCCUGAACCACUUCAUGCAGAUCCUGAAUUUAGCUAUGAAUUAUGUCAUAAUUUUCCUAUGACUUAUGCCUGAAUUUUGUGC